rnacentral:rRNA from 1 species
AGCGAACGCUGGCGGCAGGCCAACACAUGCAAGUCGAACGAAGUCUUCGGACUUAGUGGCGGACGGGUGAGUAACACGUGGGAACGUGCCUUUAGGUUCGGAAUAACUCAGGGAAACUUGUGCUAAUACCGAAUGUGCCCUUCGGGGGAAAGAUUUAUCGCCUUUAGAGCGGCCCGCGUCUGAUUAGCUAGUUGGUGAGGUAAAGGCUCACCAAGGCUACGAUCAGUAGCUGGUCUGAGAGGAUGACCAGCCACAUUGGGACUGAGACACGGCCCAAACUCCUACGGGAGGCAGCAGUGGGGAAUCUUGCGCAAUGGGCGAAAGCCUGACGCAGCCAUGCCGCGUGGAUGAUGAAGGUCUUAGGAUUGUAAAAUCCUUUCACCGGUGAAGAUAAUGACUGUAGCCGGAGAAGAAGCCCCGGCUAACUUCGUGCCAGCCGCCGCAGUAAGAC